AGUGAACGCUGGCGGCGUGCUUAACACAUGCAAGUCGAACGAGAACGGAUUAUAGCUUGCUAUAAUUGUCAGCUAAGUGGCGCACGGGUGAGUAAUGUAUAGGUAAUAUGCCUCUUACUAAGGGAUAACAAAUGGAAACGUUUGCUAAUACCUUAUACUCCUUAUUAACAGAAGUUAAUAAGGGAAAGAUUUAUUGGUAAGAGAUUAGCCUGUAUUGUAUCAGUUAGUUGGUGGGGUAAUGGCUUACCAAGACUAUGACACAUAACUGGUUUGAGAGGAUGAUCAGUCGCACUGGAACUGAGACACGGUCCAGACUCCUACGGGAGGCAGCAGUGGGGAAUAUUGCACAAUGGACGAAAGUCUGAUGCAGCAACGCCGCGUGGAGGAUGACACAUCUCGGUGCGUAAACUCCUUUUAUAUGAGAAGAUAAUGACGGUAUUAUAUGAAUAAGCACCGGCUAACUCCGUGCCAGCCGCCGCAGUAA
rnacentral:rRNA from 1 species